rnacentral:rRNA from 1 species
GAACGGUAACAGAAAGCAGCUUGCUGCUUUGCUGACGAGUGGCGGACGGGUGAGUAAUGUCUGGGAAACUGCCUGAUGGAGGGGGAUAACUACUGGAAACGGUAGCUAAUACCGCAUAACGUCGCAAGACCAAAGAGGGGGACCUUCGGGCCUCUUGCCAUCGGAUGUGCCCAGAUGGGAUUAGCUUGUUGGUGGGGUAACGGCUCACCAAGGCGACGAUCCCUAGCUGGUCUGAGAGGAUGACCAGCCACACUGGAACUGAGACACGGUCCAGACUCCUACGGGAGGCAGCAGUGGGGAAUAUUGCACAAUGGGCGCAAGCCUGAUGCAGCCAUGCCGCGUGUAUGAAGAAGGCCUUCGGGUUGUAAAGUACUUUCAGCGGGGAGGAAGGGAGUAAAGUUAAUACCUUUGCUCAUUGACGUUACCCGCAGAAGAAGCACCGGCUAACUCCGUGCCAGCAGCCGCGGUAAUACGGAGGGUGCAAGCGUUAAUCGGAAUUACUGGGCGUAAAGCGCACGCAGGCGGUUUGUUAAGUCAGAUGUGAAAUCCCCGGGCUCAACCUGGGAACUGCAUCUGAUACUGGCAAGCUUGAGUCUCGUAGAGGGGGGUAGAAUUCCAGGUGUAGCGGUGAAAUGCGUAGAGAUCUGGAGGAAUACCGGUGGCGAAGGCGGCCCCCUGGACGAAGACUGACGCUCAGGUGCGAAAGCGUGGGGAGCAAACAGGAUUAGAUACCCUGGUAGUCCACGCCGUAAACGAUGUCGACUUGGAGGUUGUGCCCUUGAGGCGUGGCUUCCGGAGCUAACGCGUUAAGUCGACCGCCUGGGGAGUACGGCCGCAAGGUUAAAACUCAAAUGAAUUGACGGGGGCCCGCACAAGCGGUGGAGCAUGUGGUUUAAUUCGAUGCAACGCGAAGAACCUUACCUGGUCUUGACAUCCACAGAACUUUCCAGAGAUGGAUUGGUGCCUUCGGGAACUGUGAGACAGGUGCUGCAUGGCUGUCGUCAGCUCGUGUUGUGAAAUGUUGGGUUAAGUCCCGCAACGAGCGCAACCCUUAUCCUUUGUUGCCAGCGGUCCGGCCGGGAACUCAAAGGAGACUGCCAGUGAUAAACUGGAGGAAGGUGGGGAUGACGUCAAGUCAUCAUGGCCCUUACGACCAGGGCUACACACGUGCUACAAUGGCGCAUACAAAGAGAAGCGACCUCGCGAGAGCAAGCGGACCUCAUAAAGUGCGUCGUAGUCCGGAUUGGAGUCUGCAACUCGACUCCAUGAAGUCGGAAUCGCUAGUAAUCGUGGAUCAGAAUGCCACGGUGAAUACGUUCCCGGGCCUUGUACACACCGCCCGUCACACCAUGGGAGUGGGUUGCAAAAGAAGUAGGUAGCUUAACCUUCGGGAGGGCGCUUACCACUUUGUGAUUCAUGACUGGGGUGAAGUCGUAACAAGGUAACCGUAGGGGAACCUGCGGUUGGAUCACCUCCUU